AAAAGGACAAGCCUCACCAUGCCCACUGGUGGUUACGUCAUCUAUGGUGUUGCCCACCAGCAUAUAGGAGGAACUGGUUCAACUCUCUAUGGACAGGAUGAACGUGUUAUAUGCAGUUCGAUACCGACCUAUGGAGAAGGAAAAGAAGCAGGAAAUGAGGCUGGUUACAUCGUAGGAAUGUCCACUUGUUAUCCUAAACCAGGCUCUGUCAAGAUUGCAGAAGGGGAGAAUCUAAUUCUGGAAUCUAAAUAUAGCAGAACACAAAUGCACACCGGAGUUAUGGGGCUCUUCUACAUUUUGGUUGCAGACCAA
rnacentral:misc_RNA from 1 species